rnacentral:rRNA from 1 species
AUAUCAAUAAGCGGAGGAAAAGAAACCAACUGGGAUUACCUCAGUAACGGCGAGUGAAGCGGUAACAGCUCAAAUUUGAAAUCUGGCCUCUCGGGGUCCGAGUUGUAAUUUGUAGAGGGUGUUUCGGGCAAGGCUGUGGUUUAAAUUUCUUGGAACAGAAUGUCAUAGAGGGUGAGAAUCCCGUCUAGAACCGUGCGCCGCGUCCAUGUGAAAGCCCUUCGACGAGUCGAGUUGUUUGGGAAUGCAGCUCUAAAUGGGUGGUAAAUUUCAUCUAAAGCUAAAUAUUGGCCAGAGACCGAUAGCGCACAAGUAGAGUGAUCGAAAGAUGAAAAGCACUUUGAAAAGAGAGUUAAACAGUAUGUGAAAUUGUUGAAAGGGAAGCGCUUGCAACCAGACUUGCGUGUCACGGUUCCCCCGCUCUUCUGACCGGGCUACUCUGUGACAUCCAGGCCAGCAUCGGUUUGGGUGGUUGGUUAAAGAUCCCCGGAACGUACCAACCUCCGGGUUGACUUAUAGCCGGGGAUGUAAUGUGGCCUACCUAGACCGAGGAACGCGCUUCGGCUCGGAUGCUGGCGUAAUGGUUGCAAGCGACCCGUCUUGAAACACGGACCAAGGAGUCUAACAUCUAUGCGAGUGUUCGGGUGUCAAACCCCUACGCGGAAUGAAAGUGAACGGAGGUAAGAGCCCCUGAGGGCGCAUUAUCGACCGAUCCUGAUGUCUUCGGAUGGAUUUGAGUAAGAGCAUAACUGUUGGGACCCGAAAGAUGGUGAACUAUGCCUGAAUAGGGUGAAGCCAGAGGAAACUCUGGUGGAGGCUCGCAGCGGUUCUGACGUGCAAAUCGAUCGUCAA